AUUGAACGCUGGCGGCAUGCCUUACACAUGCAAGUCGAACGGUAACAGGUCUUCGGAUGCUGACGAGUGGCGAACGGGUGAGUAAUACAUCGGAACGUGCCUAGUAGUGGGGGAUAACUACUCGAAAGAGUGGCUAAUACCGCAUGAGAUCUACGGAUGAAAGCAGGGGAUCGCAAGGCCUUGUGCUACUAGAGCGGCCGAUGGCAGAUUAGGUAGUUGGUGGGAUAAAAGCUUACCAAGCCGACGAUCUGUAGCUGGUCUGAGAGGACGAUCAGCCACACUGGGACUGAGACACGGCCCAGACUCCUACGGUAGGCAGCAGUGGGGAAUUUUGAACAAUGGGCGCAAGCCUGAUCCAGCAAUGCCGCGUGCAGGAUGAAGGCCUUCGGGUUGUAAACUGCUUUUGUACGGAACGAAAAGCCCUGGGUUAAUACCCUGGGGUCAUGACGGUACCGUAAGAAUAAGCACCGGCUAACUACGUGCCAGCCGCCGCAGUAACAC
rnacentral:rRNA from 1 species